CGGAGCGUAGCUCAGUCAGGUAGAGCACUGCCUUCGGGAGGCAGGGGCCGCAAGUUCGAAUCUUGUCGCUCCGACCA
rnacentral:tRNA from 1 species